rnacentral:rRNA from 1 species
UACGUAGGUGGCAAGCGUUGUCCGGAAUUAUUGGGCGUAAAGCGCGCGCAGGUGGUUCCUUAAGUCUGAUGUGAAAGCCCACGGCUCAACCGUGGAGGGUCAUUGGAAACUGGGGAACUUGAGUGCGGAAGAGGAAAGUGGAAUUCCAAGUGUAGCGGUGAAAUGCGUAGAGAUUUGGAGGAACACCAGUGGCGAAGGCGACUUUCUGGUCUGUAACUGACACUGAGGCGCGAAAGCGUGGGGAGCAAACAGG